rnacentral:ncRNA from 2 species
CGACAGCAUGAAGAGAUGAGGACUUUCCUAAAAGCCCUCACGCCAACCUGCCCGCCUCCGGGCAAGGUGGUGGCCUCCGCGGGAGGCCAUGUGGCCGGUAGCUCAUCGCGCACCGACAAACAUACGGAGAAUG